rnacentral:rRNA from 1 species
GAUGAACGCUGGCGGCGUGCCUAAUACAUGCCAGUCGAGCGAACAGACGAGGAGCUUGCUCCUCUGACGUUAGCGGCGGACGGGUGAGUAACACAUGGAUAACCUACCUAUAAGACUGGGAUAACUUCGGGAAACCGGAGCUAAUACCGGAUAAUAUAUUGAACCGCAUGGUUCAAUAGUGAAAGACGGUUUUGCUGUCACUUAUAGAUGGAUCCGCGCCGCAUUAGCUAGUUGGUAAGGUAACGGCUUACCAAGGCAACGAUGCGUAGCCGACCUGAGAGGGUGAUCGGCCACACUGGAACUGAGACACGGUCCAGACUCCUACGGGAGGCAGCAGUAGGGAAUCUUCCGCAAUGGGCGAAAGCCUGACGGAGCAACGCCGCGUGAGUGAUGAAGGUCUUCGGAUCGUAAAACUCUGUUAUUAGGGAAGAACAAAUGUGUAAGUAACUAUGCACGUCUUGACGGUACCUAAUCAGAAAGCCACGGCUAACUACGUG